AGCAGCCGCGGUAAUUCCAGCUCCAAUAGCGUAUAUUAAAGUUGUUGCAGUUAAAAAGCUCGUAGUUGAAUUUCGGGGUUAGUAAGUUGGUCAUGCCUUUGGUAUGCACUGGCUUUACUGAUUCCUCCUUCUUGACGAACCGUGAUGUCACUAAUUUGGUGUUGCGGGAAAUCAGGACUGUUACUUUGAAAAAAUUAGAGUGUUUAAAGCAGGCUAACGCUUGAAUACAUUAGCAUGGAAUAAUGAAAUAGGACGUUAAUCCUAUUUUGUUGGUUUCUAGGAUCGACGUAAUGAUUAAUAGGGAUAGUUGGGGGCAUUAGUAUUCAAUUGUCAGAGGUGAAAUUCUUGGAUUUAUUGAAGACUAACUACUGCGAAAGCAUUUGCCAAGGAUGUUUUCAUUAAUCAAGAACGAAAGUUAGGGGAUCGAAGACGAUCAGAUACCGUCGUAGUCUUAACCAUAAACUAUGCCGACUAGGGAUCGGAUGAUGUUAAUUCUUUAAUGACUCA
rnacentral:rRNA from 1 species